UACGAGGGGGGCAAGCGUUGUUCGGAAUUACUGGGUGUAAAGGGUUCGUAGGCGGUGCGGCAAGUUGGGAGUGAAAUCUCUGGGCUUAACCCAGAGGCUGCUUCCAAAACUGCUGUGCUUGAGUGUGGGAGAGGCGCGUGGAAUUGCAGGUGUAGCGGUGAAAUGCGUAGAUAUCUGCAGGAACACCCGUGGCGAAAGCGGCGCGCUGGACCACUACUGACGCUGAGGAACGAAAGCUAGGGGAGCAAACAGG
rnacentral:rRNA from 1 species